UAAAGGUUCAAUUCUGCUGUAGCUGCCACUGACUGCUCAUCAAUGUGAGAAGCUUUCCAGAUCAGUUAAAAUCAGGUAUUCCCCAAACGCCUUCCUUUCCCCCUCGGAGUGUAUGAGGAAUAAAACAGAUUCCAACGAUCUUACCCCAGCUAACUCUCCCCAUUACAUUGGACCAACUUUGCUUUCCCAUUCUGCCUCUCAAGGCUCAUCUGAGCAUUUCAUAUACUUUAAUUGGCCCUUAGUUGAAAAGCUUUUGAUGGAUUCACAGUGCAGAAUCUGGUGGGGCACUAUCCUUGAUGUUUUCCACAGUGUCCUAGGUAAAUCUAAAAGUGAAAACUCCUGAGAACCCAGGGAAUUGUCUUUAAGAAUAGAAUGAGUUCACUUUAAUAAUCAAAUUUCUUUUCUAUUUUGAUCCUCAUAAUUGUGAAAGUCAUAUUGAGAGCUGCACUGUCUGGCUCCCUCCAUUUUGUGCAAUUAUUAAAUGUUUAUUAUAAUUUCCACAGUCUUAUCUCCCACGUAUCUAGCUAUUUUAUGCAUUUAAGAAUAGCCUCACUAAUUUCUUUCCUAAGAAUGGCUGAUAUCCCUCAUGGACUAAUGGCCAUAUGUGAAAAUCAAAUGCCCAUCAAAACUAGCAUUCUUUAAGCUUUCUGAUCUCUAUGCCUUCCUUUCUGACUUAUUGUUAAAAUCGGCAAUGUCCUUAUCUCACUUUAAUCUCAUCAAUGAAAACAUUUUGCUCUCUGUAUUCCAGUUAUCAAGAUUCUAUGCUUCUUUCAAUAGUGUCCUCAAAUAGUGACAUCGUCAUCAUUUAUUCACUUUACAUCCCAAUCACAGCCCCCUCCCUCCUCCUGUCCCAGGGCCACCCUUACAAAUCCUUCCCACCAUUGCCCCUCCCCUUCCUCAGAGAAGGGGAGUACUUUCUCCACAGCAUUUUCCUAACCCACCUUAUGUUGAUGCAACUUGUAGAAGAUUCACCUUGAAGCCACAGGAAACAUCGAUGAGAUGGGCUGACAGUUGCUACACUAACUGCUACUGUGACUUAGGCACCAUCUUCAUUGUGGCAACUUGUAGAGAAAUUAAGAUCCUCUCUCUCUCUCUCUCUCUCUCUCUCUCUCUCUCUCUCUCUCUCUCUCUCUCUCUCUCCCUACUUCUCAUGAGGAGACUUUUGCCUGAAGUUCUCCCUCCCACUAUUACUGGCCAGAGGUGGUUGCAUAACUGCUCACAAAUUACGCAUAUGAGAAAAUAACAACAUUCCCAAUAUUGAUUAAGAUAAUCAGCUUAAACUCCCCAAAGCUGGACCUGACAUUGUUCCCAUGAAGCCUAUUAUCAUGUGGUGAAUGGUGGGAUCUAAAAUAAAGUCUGAGGUCUCUUAGAACGGGAAAUAGAGAGGAAUUUUAGUUUGACUAAUCAAUGUUUAUUCUAAUUAUUAUCUCUCUCCCAUACCGCCUAUAGUGUUUUGGAAAUAUUUCCAGUUGAGCAGCAUUCUUGUGGUAUUAUGUUUCUACAUAUUUACCUCUCGCCUAUCUCCCUCUAGCUUCAAGAUGACCAAAUGGCCCACUCAAUAGCUAUAAGGACGAGAGCUAUACUGGACACAUCAGACAAAAAAAUAUCUUUAGUUACGUUCCUUGUUUCCCCCUGGAUAGUGUGGAUAUAAAAACUGUGUCUCGAGCUUGUUUCCAUAGCAGAUACUACUGUGAAGCUUCACACUCGCCUUGUGUCCUUGGCCCCUGUUAAUUCUGCGCACUGGCCCACACCUGUGAAGAUGAUGCGAGCCAAGGCCCUGUAAGUCCUCCGAGUACGGAUGAAUCCUCCAUUCAUUCUGCUUUCCACUCGGAGAAUGACGGACAGAGAGAGCUCCCAGCCAGCCCUCCAUGAGCAGGGAGAACAGCGGGUUCUCUGUGCCCUACAGUGGCCAUGUUUGCCUGGAGGAGCCAGGGAACAUCUGGGCAUGAACACAAUCAGAGGACAAGUAGACGGGUGUUUCCAGGAGCCAAUGAAAUAUUUUAUUUAUUUCAAUGGGAAAUCAAGCCAGCUGGCUCUUACAUGAAGCUAUCCCCUGGAAUUCACAAAUGCCACUUUCUUCUCCAUCGUGGAAGAAAAGAUACGUUGUAGUUUGGAACAAAGGUGACCCAAUAUUAUCUGGAUCGUGACAAGCCAUGAGGAAAGGGUGGCCAAAAACAAGAGCCCACCAUCUUGGUUGAGAAGGUUGAUGCGAAGCCAAACCCACUGGCUAGAGGGCGGAGACACUCCAGAUGAAGUGAUACCAGCAAGUGAUAGGAGGCACACUGAAGGGGGAAAACCUCCCCCAAACAGGCAUGGCUCAAUGUCCAUGUGCCUGACCAUGGGAAGACAGAGGUGAGUCCUCACUGACUGUGCAGUCCCACCGUAGAAAAUUUAACUGAUAGGGCUUUAAAAGAUAUUUCAUUUCCACCUUUUCCCAAGGCCAGCACAAUUAUGAGCAUAUAAGAGCAUUUUCAUGAAAGACCACAAGUGCAGAAUAACUCCACAGGAAUGUAGCAGUGCAAACAAUUACAGAUGGGCUAGCAUUUUCACUGCAACCUUUGUUUUUAUGGACAAAUACUUUUGUGUUACAACCACCUACACCAAUCAAGAGGAGAGCAUAUUGUGCAGCCCUUUAGUGAGGAGUAACAUUGAGCCUGUAUACCAUGUAGCCUGUAUGAAGAGGACUACAUCUGCAUAAGUAGACUGUGAUAUUCAUUCAUUCAUUCAUUCAUUCAUUCAUGCUGAAAUUACUUAGUAAGUAACAGAAUUCUCAGAACACACCCUACGGUUAAACCACACAGCUCGCUAGAGCUUAAGCCUCUUUCGUUCUUCUUCUUUUCCCCUUGCUUUCACGCCCUGGUUUCUAAUCUUCAUUUUUCAGCAUAGAGCAGAAGCACACAUACUCUGCAAGUAAAUGAUACUGGCAUUCUACUUUUCAUGUGCUAAGCAUAAUCCAAAAAUAUGUGUCAUAUUUAGAAAACCGAGGUUUAGAAUGAUUAAUCUUCUUGCCUAGCUCACAAAGGUCACAUGUUUCCGAACUACCAUUCAAAAGCAGACAGUCUGGCUCCAGAGUCUGUGAUCUUAAUAUCAUCACUUUGUUACAUUAAAUAU
rnacentral:lncRNA from 1 species